AGUGAACGCUGGCGGUAGGCCUAACACAUGCAAGUCGAACGGCAGCACAGUAAGAGCUUGCUCUUACGGGUGGCGAGUGGCGGACGGGUGAGGAAUACAUCGGAAUCUACUUUUUCGUGGGGGAUAACGUAGGGAAACUUACGCUAAUACCGCAUACGACCUACGGGUGAAAGCAGGGGAUCUUCGGACCUUGCGCGAUUGAAUGAGCCGAUGUCGGAUUAGCUAGUUGGCGGGGUAAAGGCCCACCAAGGCGACGAUCCGUAGCUGGUCUGAGAGGAUGAUCAGCCACACUGGAACUGAGACACGGUCCAGACUACUACGGGAGGGAGCAGUGGGGAAUGUUGGACAAUGGGCGCAAGCCUGAUCCAGCCAUACCGCGUGGGUGAAGAAGGCCUUCGGGUUGUAAAGCCCUUUUGUUGGGAAAGAAAAGCAGCAGGUUAAUACCCCGCUGUUCUGACGGUACCCAAAGAAUAAGCACCGGCUAACUUCGUG
rnacentral:rRNA from 1 species